rnacentral:rRNA from 1 species
GACGAACGCUGGCGGCGUGCUUAAUACAUGCCAGUCGAACGGACAGGCCCUGCUCUUGCGGGGUGCUCGAGUGGGGAACGGGUGAGUAACACGCGAGUAACCCCCCCCUGUCUUUCGGAUAACUUUUGGAAACUGGGGAUCAUACCGGAUAGGAGCUACUGCUGCAUGGUGGGGGAUGGUAAGUUUCGGCGGUUGGGGAUGGUCUAGAGGCUUAUCAGCUUGUUGGUGGGGUUGUGGCUUACCAAGGUUUCGACGGGUAGCCGGCCUGGGAGGGGGGCCAGCCACAUUGGGACUGAGGUAGGGACCAGACGGCUACGGGAGGCAGCAGUGGAGAAUAUUGCGCAAUGGGGGGAAGCCUGAUGCAACAACGCCGCGUUCGGAAUGACGGCCUUCGAGUUGUAAACCGCUGUCGCCUGUGACGAGGCGUGAGUGACGGUAAUGAGUAAGGAAGCACCGGCUAACUACGUG